rnacentral:rRNA from 1 species
GACGAACGCUGGCGGCGUGCUUAACACAUGCAAGUCGAACGAUGAACUUGGAGCUUGCUCUGGGGGAUUAGUGGCGAACGGGUGAGUAACACGUGAGUAACCUGCCCUGGACUCUGGGAUAACUUCGAGAAAUCGGAGCUAAUACCGGAUAGGACCUUGCACCGCAUGGUGUGGGGUGGAAAGUUUUUCGGUUUGGGAUGGACUCGCGGCCUAUCAGCUUGUUGGUGAGGUAAUGGCUCACCAAGGCGUCGACGGGUAGCCGGACUGAGAGGGUGACCGGGCACACGAGGACUGAGACGCGGACCAGACUCCUACGGGAGGCAGCAGUGGGGAAUAUUGCACAAGGGGCGGAAGCCUGAUGCAGCAACGCCGCGUGCGGGAUGACGGCCUUCGGGUUGUAAACCGCUUUUAGUAGGGAAGAAGCCUUCGGGUGACGGUACCUGCAGAAAAAGGACCGGCUAACUACGUGCCAGCCGCCGCCGUAAAAC